GAAUGCGACGUAGAUCUUCUUUCAUCUUUUCUAAAAUCCUAAGCGUUUCACCUCCUACGGUUUCCAGAUUGAUAAUGAACUUUAAUAAUCAUCAAUAGAAACGUCCCCUUCAAUCACAUGUCCUAAAUUCACAUCUACUCCCUUCCAAGCUUUCUCUAUCGUCAUGAUUCACAUGGGAUUCAAAGCUUUUAGCAGAAAGUUGGAUUCAUAAGACUCCUUAGUCUGACGUCACCGUCGCUCCAACAAAUGAAGCCUCUGCCAGCCUCGGUCGUAAAUGGAAGUGGAAUCAAGGUAUCGGAUCCCUCUCCCCAGCUUCCUGUCUUCAGAACGCUGAUUGCAGUCAGUUGAUUGGAUUGAAGGAAAGACAUCACUUUGCAAAUCGAAAUUAGGUUAGAGCCGGAUACUGUUGCUUCCUUUUGCUUACUGAUAAGAUUGAAUAUUUAUAUUGACAUCGUCUCUAUGUAUUAAAUUUUAUGAUACUUUGAUGAUGAUAUAUAUUUUAAUUUGAUUGGAAAUAAGUGGUUCAACAGAUGCCACCAACUUUGGCUUCAAGCUCUAUAACCACGGCUGGUGGUCCGCCUGCUCUAACUCCUGCACCACCUUCCAAACUGAUGUUCAGGUAGUUUAGUUAUCCAAAGUGUUUUUCCUCUCUUCUUUUAGUUUAUCACUCACUAUAUAUCUCAAACUCGAUAGAUCAACAGACCCGAGUUCUACCAGAAGCAGGAAGAAGUGACGGUCUCAAUUUUCUCCAAAGCAUAACGUAAAAAGUCGAGUUUGAUGACCAGAUUGUGAGUAUCAUUUGAUCAGAUAAAUGCAUUACCUUUAACUGAACCUAUCUUGCUUUGUGAUUUGGCACUGCGUACUGAUUUGAGAUAUCUAUUCAGGUUAUGUUUUUCAGUUGAUGAUGUUUCUCAUUUUGCUGGAGAAGAAGCUUAUCUUUACUAACCAAGUUUGUUUGGGAAGGUGUAUAUAUUCGUCAACUUGAACAGUGGGUUUUGUCCAUGCCUUUACAAAAUCAAUAUUCAUGUGUUAUAUAGAUAGUACGUGAAGUGCAUAUAUAAAGUUUUUGGAGCCAAAUGUUGAGAUCCGUCUCGCAAAAGCUGAGAUAGUAACUUGGGCAUCCCUUGAAUAUGGAAAAGGGAUAGCUCUUCUGCCUAAACCUAAUCUCGCAUCAAUUUUUUAAAACAGCGAAGUCUUUAUUUCUUCUUACUUUUUCGCUUUGUUUUAAUCUAUUCAUAACAGCCGUGUGUGCCGUGAUACAGGGCUCGGUGGACGUUGUGUUUAUGAGAAGAACUGAUGAAUUCCAAGCUAUGAAGAGACACAACAAUGUACUGUUGCAUCAUGCAUGGACGGUUGAUGGAUCAAAAGAUUCUGGAUGGAAAUACUGAGGUUGCUCCUGUUGCAACUCGAGUGCAUGUAAAUGGAUUGAAGGAAGGAUUGAGAGGACUGUUUCCAUUGUUGGAGGCAGGAAAAGAAGACUAGGAAGAUGCACAUCUCCUUCUGUGAGACACCUUCCAAUGCCAAGACGACUCUGGAAAAUCGACAGACACUGGUCACUUGAUCGACAAGCUUCAUGGUUUAGGAAGUUUUAGACCACCGAGUACUACUGCACUGUCUUUGCUGCUUCUUAUCUUGAUUUCAUCAAGAACAUGGUUAGUGGUACCUCCCAGGAUGAUUGUGUUGUUUUUAUCAUUGACUCCACCAUUGGUGGUUUCAAAGUUGGUAUCUCUAAGGAUGGACAGACCCAUGAGCACACUCUCCUUUGCAUCACCCUUGAUGUCAAGCAAAUGAUUUUUUUUUCUGUAAUAAGGUGAACUAGCUUUUCAUUUUUCAUUGCUUGAUGUGACCAUACUCUUUUGAUACGAUACUAACAUCAAUUCAUGUCUUUUGUUGUUUUUCUGUUGCAGAUGAAUGCAACUACCCCCAUAUACUCCAAGGGUAAGUACAAUGAGAUUAUCAGGGAGGUGUUUUCUUACUUAAAGAAGUUUGGAUACGACACUUGAAAAAUUCCAUUCGUCCCCAUCUCUGCUUUUGAGGAUGACAACAUGAUUGAGACGUCCACCAACCUUGACUGGUAUAAUGGACCAACUCUCCUUGAGGUUUUUGACCAGAUCAACGAGCCCAAGCGGCCCUCAGAUAAGCCCCUCCGUCUUCCACUCCAGGAUAUUUAAGGGUUGUAUUGGAACGGUGCCAGUGGGUCGUGUGGAGCCUGGGUAUGGUUGUCACCUCUGCACUCUGGCCAGCGUGUUGGAUAUGAUCAGAGACAGAUGUAUUAAGAUACAAAAGCAGAUAAAAUAAGCAGAGAGUCAUGCGUUUGUGGAGCAACUCUAUGGAUGAGAGCACUUUAGAAAAGGAGGCCACGAUGGAUCUGUAUUUGUACAGCUUCAUGGAAUGCAUAAGGAGCAUCUUUUGGACAUCACUUUUUCAAACAUCCUUCACUUGCAAGUAAAUGACGGUCAAAAUAUGUUUAAUCAAGAUUUGUGCUCACAAAAAAAUUAUACGUAUUUAUUAAAGGUUUACAAGUGCUUUCAGUAUUGUAACUGUGAUUGGUCAUAUACGUUCUCUUCUGGUGAAGUUAGGAGAGGUACUUAGAACUAAAGGAGGAAGAGGAUGUAUUAUUAUAUUAAGGCUCCCAAGAAUAAAGAUACUAUACUUUGAUUCAACCGAGUAAAAAGAAACAUGAUUUUGGUAAUGAUAGUCUUAGUAGUUGUGUUAUCCAAUAUUGUUUGUUCUCAAUUACGUACGAGUAGUAAGUCUAUAUUCACUUUUGGAGGAUAACAGAUCAUAUGGUAUAACAUUUUUGUCUCGAAAAAAAAUUCAAGGGGGAAAGGUUUGGCUAAAAAUUUUAGUCUAUAGAUAUUAAUAUACUAUAGAAAAAAAUUACAAGAACAACUAACAAUUUGAGUAGUUAAUUUUUUGGUUUAACUGGUUUAGUUUCUAGACAACACCUUUUGAUUGUUCAGCUUCAACCUUCUCAGUUCUCACACUUUUAGAAUAUAAUGUUAUCCCUUAAGACUUCAUUUGGAAGGUUUAAUAUUUAUUUAAAUUAUAUUUAAGGAAAUAUAGGAAAUUGUUAUAUACAAAAAAGUCAUUUGUCGGCGACUCAUGUAAUUUCAAACGGAUUGUGUUUGUUAGAAUUACAAUUUUUAAACGAAAACAAACAUCAUCUAUGAACAAUCAGUUUGCCUGGAAAACAUAUAUUACUAUUUCGUUCACAUUACAAAAAAAAUAUAUGAUGAGUUCAAAUACAAAUAUUGGCAAAAAUAAUAAAAUAUACAAGCAACGUAAUUUUUUCAUCAAAUUUCAUUUGAUAUUGAAAUAGUUUUUAUCUAUGUUUUCAGUCUUUCAACCAAUAAAUAUUAAAAUAAUUAAAUUAUUAACAAUAAAUUUGUGAAAAUAUGGAUGAACAUUAGAUGAUACUAAUAUUGGUUAAGAAAAAAAAAAUUAAGGAAAAUAUCUAUGUUUUUACUAAAUUUAGAAUUUUGUGUCUCGAAAUGAUACACCAGUUUUUAUUACUAAUUUAAUAUUUUUUAAUAAUAAAAGAUAUAUUUUACCAUAUCAAAUGCACUUAAAUUGGGAAAAUAACCUUUUAGUAUAAUAUUUUUUAAAAAUAUAUAUAAUAUUUGAUUCUAUCAUUAUUAAUAACUGUAUUUCAGUUUAAUUUUAGUAUCUCAUAUGAGGUGAAGAAUGUGUAUAUUGCAUAGAUUUAUUAGCCUAGAAUUUAAUACGAUUCAAAAUGUUAAAAUGUUUGUUGAAAUAAAACAAAAACAAUUGAAUCACAACUAAUUUUAGUUAAUUAUAUAUUCACCUUCUUAUUGUGUACCAUCCAAAAUAUGCUUUGUGUUAUUUUAUUUUAUUUUGACUAAAGGCUUAUGCUUUGUGUUAUUGUAACAACCAAUUUUGAAUUCUAAUCUUCUAACUUCAUUUUAUAAUAUAUUUUUAUAAAAUAUACGCAUUACUUUUUCAAAUAAAAAUAAAUUAAAAAUUUAUGAAACUUAGACUAAUAUAUUUUUAUAAGGAAUUUUUAGUGUAUUUAAAUCAUAAAACUUUAAAAAUAUUUUUUUAUUUAAACCAUUGUAUGUCUCUGUUUUGAAAAGGAGAUACAUCUUUUAAUUUAAAACAAUGAAUAUAUUAAAUUGGCCGUAUUUACUAUAAUAGUAAGAAAACAUGUUACAAUCGUAAGAAAUAUAUUAUGAAAACUUAUAAUAUAUUAAUAAAACAGGAUUUUAUAAAUAAACAAUAAAAUAUACAUGUAUAACAAAAUUAAAUAUA